AUCCUCGCGGAUUUUUUUCUUAAUGGUUAUGUUCACAUCUUUUAGGUCCGUGGAAGGCACGAUUUCAUAUCUUUUGUUUAGAAUAGCGAUAGGAAAUAUAAUUCGAUCCAGGGAUAUUGAAUUUGAUAUUGACCAAUCCUGAAGGGGGACAAGGUUGUCGCCAUUUGGGAUAGGCUGAUUUUCAUCACGUGGUUUUCCGGCGGUAUUUUCAAAUUCUGAAUUGGUAAACUUCUGUCUCGACCAAUCGUAAUGCGGUCCAACUUUGGACCGCUUUGAGAUAGGUUGAUUUCCAUCACAUGAUUUUUCGGCGGUAUUUUUAAACACUGGAUUGGGCAAUUUCUGAGUCGACCAAUCCCGGAUCAGGUCAAGGUUGACCUGAUCUAGUAUAGGCUGAUUUUCAUCACGUGGUUUUCCGGCGGUAAAUUUAAAAUUGGAACCGGUAAAUCCCUGUCUCCGUAAAGCUAUAAUUUUGCCUGCAUCUUUCACCAGUUCCACAUGUGGUCCUUUCUCAUCUUUUGCCAAUCCAGCUUUCACAAAAUAUUCCUGGGUCAGUUUAUUUAUAUCAGUAUCUUUAAACAAUCCGUAGCUCUCCAAUCCAGAAAGAUCCAUCGGUUUGAAAUUCUUGUAUUGAGAAUUGAUCACAUCUCUCUCUUUAUCGGCAAUGAUCCUUAGUCUUUUGUUUUCUGAUUCCAGUUCUUCUAGUCGUGCUCGUUCCUCUGCGGCUUCAAGUUUGCUUUUCAUUUCAAUAAUAUCGUUGUAGAGACCUUGCACUAUUUCCAAUAGUUUUCCGUUAGACAUGGUGAUGAGUAUUCCCAGUAGUUUGGAUAUGAUUUCUCUGUUACGUUUGGCGUUUACUGUUGUCCCGGUCAUGAUUAGAUUGAUAAGAUCGGUAAAGGAUAAAAAGUCUACCGUUUUUAUUCCCUUUUCGGCUCCACGGGCGUAUUUAGGAAUGGUAAAAUGAUCCAAUAGAUAAUAUAUUUUAUCCGCAUAAACAAUUGUGCCAAUUUUAUCAUUGACAAUAUUUACAGGCAAUGUUAUUGGGUUGUUUAUUUUCUGGAGUAGUAUAUUAGUCACCUUGCUGGCUCUUUCCUGUUCUGGUGUUAUUUUAAAGCGCGAAUUGAUGUUUGAAAUUGGAUAAAUUAUAUUAUCCAAUCGAAAAGGGGCCCUAACUUUACGGCCCCUUUUUAAUUGGUCGGGAACUGUGCCGUCAUCAUAAAUAUUAUCCAAUCGUGAAGGGGGGGUAACGUUAACCCCCCUUUUUAAUUGGUCAGAUUUUGGCGCGGUGGUUAAUUUGAAUUUCCCCUGGUCUGUUUCCCGUUGAAUUAUACCAAUAAUCUUUGCAGCAUCUUUCAAUAUUUCCACAUGGGGACCUGUUUUAUCUUCUUUCAUUCCUGCUUCCUUGAAUAGAUACUGUGUCAAUAGAUUCACAUCUGUUUCGUUAAUCACACCAAUUUCUUCCUUGUUUUUCAAAUCAACAAUCGUGUUAAUUUUUUUAUCACUUUCCACCUCCUUCAAAAACUUUUCUUCUAAUUCUUUUAACUCCUUGGCAGACUUCAUAUCAUUCCUAUGUUUUACGGUAGUCAUCCUCGCCGAGAACAACUGCGGUAACAUAUUCAGCACACCCCCUAUAAUCACAUUGCCGGUAUGCUGAUUCACUUUGACCAAAAUGUCUAUCAAUUUCAUCAGCUCCUUGAACACAACUUCCUCGUCGUCUUUAGCCUUCAACAUCAGAAAUACAACCAUGUUCUUAAACGGUAGAACACGCAUUCCUUCUCCGGGUACACCAGCCACUGUCGUCAUUUUAUCCUUGUUGAACACCAUGACAUUUUUGACCUCACCACCAUGUAGCGAGAGAAAUCGUUUCUCAAAAUCCUCCUGGGUCAUUCCAGAAUUUGCUAUAUACUUAGGUGAAAUCACCAACACUGGAGGCUUAGACAGAUCCUUGUUGGUAAUAACCGAAUAGGCAUGCAUGGCCGCCACUUUUACCAAGGAAUGUUCUAUUCUAGACUUUGCAAAUUCUUGGGUGAAAACAUCUUUUCCGUCUAGCUUCUGCUUUUUAGCAGAAGUUUGGUUGGCUUGUGUUGCUGAUCGUUUCAUCUUUUUUUCAGGUGUAUAUAUCUCAAUAGUUUGAGUUUGUAUGGUCUAUACAAGUAAAAGCUAUUGCUUUUAUUGGUGUUUAAAACCAGGCAAGGAAUUAUUAGGCAGGGAAUAAUUUGUCAUUGACAAGAUGAAGAUAUUGCUAGUUUUUUUCUAUAGUUUUAAUAUGAAAACAACAAAUAAAAAUGUAAGAAUAUCACAUUGGCUG
rnacentral:sRNA from 1 species